AUGCCAUGUCUCUCUCACGCCUCAUCAAUCCUCUCUGCUGCAGUUCUUCAACUUCAGAUUCUUUGGUGACUUCAUCAUAUGUGAAGGAGAAAAUGGAGAAUACAUCCUGGUGCCUUGGGGAGUCAAAAGA